GCUACGGUUACCUGGAUAAGAAGUGGUACGAGUCGCCGAGCGACGAUCAGAAAUACGUGAAGAAACGUAACAUGCAAGUCAGCAAGUGUGUGCAGUGCGACGAGUGCCUGAAGUGGCGUAUCUUGCCCUUCUCGUCCAAGGACGUCGGUCAGGACCUGCCCGACUACUGGGUGUGCAGCAUGAACAUAGACACACAACACAACCGGUGUUCUUCUGCCGAGGAGAGAUCGAAGAUCGCCGAGGGAGUGCUUAAGAUUAAACAUAAAACCGCAGAGGACAAGAAACAGGAGUUGA